AUAGUGUAGCACACUGGAACUUUGCAAAUUGCGAGGUUCGAGUGUUUGAUAUGGAUCCCGAACUUUUCCACACUUGGUGGAGGUCGUAGAUGGUAUUCCGACCUAAAAGUUCGAUUUCUGGAGUUUUGGCUUUGUCCUGAGAGUUUUCACUCUCGGAGACCGGUCCCUGAUGGGAGAGACCGGUCUUCUCAGCACAGUGUCGCGACCAGCUUGAGGCAACCGGUCCCUGGCUGUGAGAGACCGGUUCCCGAACGUGUGUUUUGCGAGAAGGGUCCGAGAGACCAGUACCUGGCAGGGAGAGACCGGUUCCUGAACGUUGGUUCUGCGGGGCAGGCUGAGAGACCGGUCCCAGGUGUCGGGGAGACUGGUCCCUCAGUCCGAAAACUGCCCAGACCCGGGUGUGCGCAGAGUGGAUUUUUGAGGAACCUAAGUGGAUUUUGUUACCUUAUAGGCUAUAGAGAGCCUCUCCUCUCCCUCUCACUCUUAUUUCCUCUCCUUCACACUCUCCUUACACUUCUAGAGAGAGAAGGAGAAGGAGAAGAAGGAGAAGGAAAGGAGAGGAGCUUACUUGGAGGCCUUGGAGCAUCAUCUUCUUCCUCAUUUCUCACCUUGGUGGCUUGGAGCUUGCAGUUGGAGCCUUGUGGAGGAUCAAACUCCAACCCUACUUGGUUUAGAGCUUGGUUUGGAGCUUCUCUUGAGGUUGGUAGCUGGUAUUUCCUAUUUAAUACAAGUUUUUCUAGAUUUUACUAGAUAAAACCCUAGAUUUUGGGAUUUAGGGUUUACUUUGGAGAUUUUUAUUUGAGGGCUUUGAGACCUAAUUGAUGGGUUUAGAACCUUUAUUUAGGUUGGAUUUGAAGAACUCUAACUCUCAUUUGGAGCUUGAGAGAGGAUUUCUUUACCUAGGUGAGUUUUUCUCCACCUUAGCCUAUGUUGCUUAUUGAUUGAGCUUAGGGUUGAUCGUAAGGUUUGUUUGACCCUUGUUCCUACAUCUUUAGGGUGCUAGGAGACUCGUGGACAUCUUCGUCGGAUCUUACGAAGGGUUUCGGUAACUUCGGUGGGUUUGACUUCAUGAAAUCGAGGCAAAAUAGCCCCUAAGUAUUCGAUACUUGUCGUAACGCCAAUUCGAUUGCAUAUUUAUGUUAAAUGAGAUUUAUGUGAAUUUUAGAACACUUAAAUUGCAUGCCUUAUGUAUCAUAAAAAUUUCACUCUAUAUAGUAGGGCAUUCGGGGCAUUUUUGCAUGCAUAUGAGGAGUGUUCGUGUUAGCGACUUGGAAACGUGUCUCUUAUGUUAGAGUUUACUCAAAUUAUGCAUUUGUAAACAAUAAACUCAUGUUUGGACUUAGUUGACAAAAAGCCAUAAAGAGGCACUUGACAUAGUAAACUGUGAAACUGCAACAUAGAGACAUAGCAAUAGGCCAUUGAACAUCUUCUAUAUUCGAUGUUAGAGACAUGAUGAUAUAGAGAUAGGCCUUUGAGACAUUCGACGUAUAUUUCAUGUUUUUAGACAUGAGGACUUGGUACUUGAGACAGAUUUUUCGCUUGCUUGCCAUUGUGCUCAUUCGCACAUUCUUGUGAGGGUCGCUCCUACAAGCCGGCACUCCGGAGAUAGCCAUCGCGACAUAUGCUCGCUCGUGCGGGAUUGGGCGCCGAAAUGGGAUGCCGUGGGGAAGGCUCAUUCCUAGAGUGGGGAUGUUGACUACCACGGGACCAUUAGGCACGACGCAGGUCAGACAGCCUACGGGUGGGUCUUAUAUGAUUGGAACUUGGUGACAGAACAUGCCAUUUAGACUUUGACUAGAAUAGUAAACAAUGACAUUUUACUAUUUAGCUUGUGGACAUCAUGCUAGUGAUACCUUGGUACAUUCAUGUUAGAAUAGUCCUUUUUAUUACUUAUGCAAUUCAUGCUAAGUAGAGAUAUCAUGUUGUAGUAAGUUACAUGUUUACUCACAUAUCGAUUCUAUUGCUUUUAUUGUUACUUACCUGUUUAGCUCUUUUGGGCCUAGUGGUGCUUUCACUGAAGUUAGUAAUUGCCCACUGGGAACUAUUAUUUAAUAGUUCUCAUGCCCCUUGUUUUAUGUUUCCUUUUCAGAGCCCGAUGGACCGGCGGAGGCACGGGAUCGCGGCAAGGGAAUCGCUAGCUAGAUAGCGAGAAUUUGCUGUUGCUUAGGUAGUUUUCUCUCUUUUUGUUGUAGUUGAGAGAGAGUGAGGUUUUGUAUCCAUGUAUAGAGACCACCUAUGUAUUUACUUAUAUCUCUUGUUUCGGGUUUCCUCUUGUGCUACUUUAUGUUUUCAUUUAAUGGAUUUUUAGUUUAGGGUUUUUAUCCUCUAUUAUAGCAUCUAGAUAUACUUGCUCUGAUACUUCUAUAUGUUUUCUUUUUACUGCUUUCUUUAUCGUUUUGUUUUAUAUGCCUUAUAUGUUUUAGACAUAUGGCUGGUCUGGACACGCGCCGGGCGGGCUUCCGCUGGGUCCCGGGGCGUGACAGAUUAGUUUGGUAUCAGAGGCUAGGGUUGAGUCUUAGUGGGCCUAGCAAACCUUAGGCCGGUUGGACUAUAGGAAAUAGGCUCGUGAGAGACGAGGUCUAUUUGACUUAUAAGCGAAAGUAUUUUGAUUGGAUAUCUUUGAUAACUCUAGAAAGUAGAGUUAAAUUGAAGUGUAUAGCUCCUAACUUCGCAGAGGGUUACGUUGGCGGCCGACAACGUAACAUCGGGAGUUAGUAGUGAAGCACACUUCCUUACUUUCGCAUGAUUUGGGGUAUUACCUUCUUGAGUGGGGAUUCGAUGGCGUGAGUUUACUAACUUACGCUUUUAUGAUGUUGUAGUGAGAUACUGAUCACUCGCUCCCAAUCUGCCGGAGCGGAUAAUGCGGCAAACUUGAAGGAGGUCGAGACCUCCGCUACCUCCGGAUCUGGCGAGGUCCAAGAGUUGAGGAACCAACUUGCGGCCCUCACCGACUUAGUGACUCAGCAGGCGGAGGCGGCCUGACAGCAGACUGAGGCUGCGCGCCGGCAUGAGGCACGGAUGAAGUGCCUGGAUGACCUUCUUCUGCAGCAGGCGGUAGCUUCCAGGGAGACCGAGGCCCCUACACCGCCAGCUCUGGUUGUGGACGUCGCGCCGAGGGCGCCGUCCCCCGUGCCCAGUUCGUCGCAUGCGGCACCCGUGGCCGCGCCUCAGGAGGAGGCUUUGGCGGCGCCACCUGUUCAGGCGCCCCCGAUUGGAGCUAUUUUUCCCGUGUUGGUCGAGGGAGCGGAGCGAGACCGACUGAUGGAGCGCCUCAACGAGUUCAGAAGGUGCAGUCUCCGGAUCUUCGACGGCGAGAAGGUCGACCACUGGAUCGUGGAGAAGUGGUUGAUGCAUAUGGAGAAACUCUUCCGCGACACUUUCGUGGAGGAGAGGGAUCGAGUUUGGCUCGCCACUCACCAUCUGGACAGCGAGGCCUAUCGCUGGUGGUUGGAUCUUCAGGAGAAUGCCAACACCGACUUAGCGGCCAUCACGUGGAAGAAGUUCAAGGAGCUUCUUUUGGCGCAUUACUUCCCGACCAGCGUUAAGCAGAAGAUGGAGCAGGAUCUGCGCAACUUGCGCCAAGGUGAUCGGACUGUAGCCGAGUACGAGCGGGAGUUUGCUCGGCUUCUACACUGCGUACCUUUCGUCGUGCGGGACGACGAGGACAAGGCCCGCAUCUUCGAGCGAGGGUUGCGACCGUCAAUCUUCCGGUUUGUGCAAUCCUCUAACCUUCAAACCUACCGGGAGGUGGUGGAUCGCCGGCUCAUCGUGGAGAGCGGCGCGGAAGACGUCCAGGAGCGGCAAGAGGCUAUGGACAAGGGUAAGGCCAAGAGGCCUGCAGCUGAGGGUGUGAGCCAGACGCACUCUGGGAGGCCGCCGAAGCAUCCUAGGAGCCAGCAGUGGCUCGGCGACUCACCAUGGAGGUUUUGACCGACGCCGACCUCCCCAGUGCGUGAUCUGUGGUGGUCCCCACAUUCCACCGCAGUGCCCGCAGCGGGGAGGGAGGUAUUUCCAGUAUGGCCAGGAGGGCCACUUUUGGACCAAGUGCCCGAGAGGUUCUUUACCGGCACAGUCGAUUGCAUCGGCACCGGCUCUACCAAUCGCUAGCCACGGGACUCCGUCGACACAGUACCAGCCUGGGCGGCCACCCGUCGAGCGCCAGAGCGAGGGAUCUCGACAGGCCCCGAGUGGGCGUUUGUAUGCCGCUCAGACCGAGAAUGCGGCGUCAGCCGAGGAUGUGGUUGCAAGUAUCAUUUUACUUGAUGGCAUUAGAGUUCGUGCUUUAUUUGAUACCGGUGCAUUGCAUUCAUUUAUAGAUCGGCUGUUUGCCGAGUUGCAUAGCAUCCCUUUGAUUUUUUUGUUGCAUCCGGGACAUGUUGUAGUACCCGACCACACACUGGAUAUUAGAGAGUAUUGCCCUAGUUGCCCUGUUCAAGUAGGAGAUUGGAUCAUGCCCGUAGAUUUGCUAGCUCUGCGCAAGCUAGGGAAUUUCGAUGUGGUCUUGGGUAUGGAUUUGCUAACCAAGUAUUAUGCCACGAUUGAUUGUAAGAAUCGCACGAUUACUUUUAGAGAACCGGGGCAAACUGAGGUUGUGUAUAGAGGAUGCCGGAGUUCGCUUUUUGCGAUGUCGAUCAGCUCGUCUCGAGCUAGGCAGCUGAUCAGCCGAGGAUGUGUAGCUUACUUGGCUAGUGUUGUGUUGAGGGGCGAAGAUGACACCCCUAGGAUUGAGGAUAUUUCGGUGGUACGGGAGUUUCAGGACGUGUUUCCAGUUGAGCUACCGGGUAUGCCACCCGAUAGGGAGAUCGAGUUUGUGAUAGAUCUCAUCCCUGGGACUACUCCAAUCUCGAAGGCACCCUAUAGGAUGGCACCGGCGGAGCUAAAGGAGCUGAGGGCACAGAUACAUGAUCUGUUGGACAAGAGCUUCAUUCGACCGAGCGUCUCGCUGUGGGGAGCGCCAGUUCUGUUCAUCAAGAAAAAAGGACGGAUCACUUUGCCUAUGUGUAGACUAUCGUGAACUUAAUAAAGUCACGAUCAAGAAUAAGUAUCCGCUGCCGAGGAUCGAUGACUUGUUUGAUCAGCUUCAAGGAUCGUGUGAGUAUUCCAAGAUCGACUUGCAGUCGGGACACCACCAAUUGAAGAUCAAACCCAAGGAUGUAUCGAAGACGGCUUUUAGAAUACGGUAUGGACAUUAUGAGUUCACAGUUAUGCCGUUUGGGCUUACUAAUGCCCCGGCUGCUUUUAUGGAUCUGAUGAACCGUGUUUUCAAGCCUUACUUGGAUAGAUUUGUCGUGGUGUUCAUCGACGACAUUUUGGUUUAUUCUCGAAGUGACGCAGAUUACAAGGAGCAUUUGAGGCUUGUACGUCAAAUACUUCGGGAAAAGGAGCUGUAUGCCAAGUUGAGAAAGUGUGAAUUUUGGCUUCGAGAGGUUGCUUUUCUUGGACAUUUGAUUUUGGGAUCGGGUAUAGCUGUGGAUCCUAAAAAAAUUAAGGCUAUCAAGGAUUGGCCUAGACCGACGUGUCACGGAGAUACGGAGCUUCGUUGGAUUGGCCGGUUACUACCGGAGGUUUGUUGAGGGAUUCGCUAAGCUAUCUACUACUCUCACGAGGCUCACGCAUAAAGGUGUCAAGUUCAUCUGGAAUGAGGCAUGUGAGAGAAGCUUCCAAGAGCUGAAGCAACGACUGACGACCGCCCCUAUCCUAACCCUGCCAAUUGCUGGAGCAGAGUAUGUGGUUUACAGUGAUGCAUCUCUUAACGGAUUCGGCUGUGUUUUGAUACAGGACGGCAAGGUGAUCGCGUAUACUUCUCGCCAAUUAAAGAAAUAUGAAAAGAAUUACCCUACGCACGAUUUGGAGUUUGCGGUCGUAGUCUUCGCAUUGAAGUUAUGGCGCCACGACCUCUAUGGCGAGCGGUGUGAAGUGUACACAGAUCACAAGAGCUCGAAGUACUUGUUCACUCAGAAGGAGACUUGAGACAGCGUAGAUGGCUGGAGCUGCUCAAGGAUUAUGAUUUGACUAUUCUUUACCACCCGGGCAAGGCUAACGUGGUGGCGGAUGCACUAAGUAGGAAAUCAACAGAAAACUUAGCGAUGUAUGUUGUUACUUAACCGCAAUUGAUCGAGCAAAUGAAGCGGUUGGAGUUGGAGGUAGUGACUCCUGACACGCCUGUGAGGUUAAUGACUUUGGUGAUGCAACCCACACUCUUGGAUAGAAUUAAAGAGAAGCAAGCUUCCGAUGUGGAGUUGCGAAAGAUUAAAGGUAAAAUGGUUGAUGAUUGCACCGACGAUUUCCUUGUGGAUGACCAAGGAUUUAUGCGUUUCCGUGGACGGAUUUAUGUACCGGCAGAUUCGGGAAUUAAAGAGGAUAUUCUUCAAGAAGCACACCGAGCGCCCUAUGUUAUACAUUCGGGAGGCACCAAGAUGUACAAGGACUUGAAGUUGCUUUAUUGGUGGCCCGGGAUGAAAAAAGAUGUUGGCGAGUUUGUAGCUCGAUGUCUAACUUGCCAACAAGUGAAAGCUGAGCACCGAUUACCCACGGGAAAGCUUCAGAGUUUGCCUAUUCCCGUGUGGAAGUGGGAGAAGAUUACCAUGGAUUUCGUGACUGGAUUGCCUCGCUCUCAGGCCGGGCAUGAUGCUAUAUGGGUGAUCGUGGAUAGGUUGACGAAGUCAGCGCACUUCAUACCUAUUCAUACUAUUUGGACCGGAGAGAAGGUCGCACAAGUAUACCUUGAUGAAAUUGUGUGACUUCAUGGAGUGCCUACAUCGAUAGUAUCGGAUCGAGACACUCGGUUUGUGUCUCAUUUAUGGAGGAGUCUACAAGACGCCUUGGGCAUCCGAUUGGACUUCAGCACUGCUUUCCACCCCUAGAGUGAUGGGCAGUCGGAGCGCACCAUUCAAACUUUAGAGGAUAUGCUCCGAAUAUGUUUUAUAGACUUCUAGGGAGGAUGGUCGCAGCAUCUACCGAUGGCGGAGUUUGCUUAUAACAACAGUUAUCAAGCAAGCAUCAAGAUGGCACCUUUCGAAGCACUUUAUGGACGGAAGUGUAGAUCACCACUUCAUUGGAGCGACGUAGGCGAGAGAUUGGCUUUAGGCCCUGACGUGCUCCAGGAAGCUGAGGACAAAGUUCGAAUUGCUCGGGAGCGACUUUUGACGGCACAGAGUAGACAGAGGAGCUACACCGACCGACGACGGCGAGACUUGGAGUUCCAAGUUGGAGACCAUGUUUUCUUGAAGGUCUCGCCAACUAGAGGAAUCAAGAGGUUUGGGAUUCGGGGAAAGUUAAGCCCCCGGUUUAUUGGACCAUAUAAGAUCUUGGAACGUGUAGGUCCGGUGGCGUAUCGACUUGCUCUACCACCGAACCUAUCGGUCCUGCACAACGUCUUUCAUGUAUCGGUCCUUCGGAAGUAUGUCUUCAACCCGACUCACGUAUUGGACGCUACACCUUUGGAGUUGCGGGACGACUUGAGCUUCGAGGAGCAACCAGUGAGGAUUUUGGCUCGUGAGGUGCGAAAACUGCGGAAUCGGGAUAUUCCGUAUGUGAAGGUUCUUUGGAGCAACCACGGGGAGCGGGAGGCCACGUGGGAGCUGGAGAGCGCGCUACAGGAGCGCUAUCCCCAUCUUUUUCAGAUGGAGUCUUGAGGUAUGUGUUGGCUUUCGAGUUUCGUGGACGAAACUUCUUUUUAGGAGGGAUGAAUGUAGCACACUGGACCUUUGCAAAUUGCGAGGUUCGAGUGUUUAAUAUGGAUCCCGAACUUUUCCACACUUGGUGGAAGGUCGUAGAUGGUAUUCCGACCUAAAAGUUCGAUUUCUGGAGUUUUGGCUUUGUCCUGAGAGUUUUCACUCUCAGGGACCGGUCCCUGAUGGGAGAGACCGGUCCCCUCAGCACAGUGUCGAGACCAGCUUGAGGCAACCGGUCCCUGGCUGUGAGAGACCGGUUCCCGAACGCGUGUUUUGCGAGAAGGGUCCGAGAGACCGGUCCUUGGUAGGGAGAGACCGGUUCUCGAACGUUGGUUCUGCGGGGCAGGCUGAGAGACC
rnacentral:lncRNA from 1 species